GAUGAACGCUAGCGGCAGGCUUAACACAUGCAAGUCGAGGGGCAGCAUAAUGGAUAGCAAUAUCUAUGGUGGCGACCGGCGCACGGGUGCGUAACGCGUAUGCAACCUACCUUUAACAGGGGGAUAACACUGAGAAAUUGGUACUAAUACCCCAUAAUAUCAUAGAAGGCAUCUUUUAUGGUUGAAAAUUCCGAUGGUUAGAGAUGGGCAUGCGUUGUAUUAGCUAGUUGGUGGGGUAACGGCUCACCAAGGCGACGAUACAUAGGGGGACUGGGAGGUUGAACGGCCACAUUGGGACUGAGAUACGGCCCAG
rnacentral:rRNA from 1 species